GUGUCCAUGGUGUAGUGGUUAUCACAUCUGCUUUACAUACAGGAGGUCAUGAGUUCGAUUCUCGAUGGAACCU
rnacentral:tRNA from 1 species